AUAAAUGUUUUGUCUUUGACAUAACUACCCAGAAAACAAGUAUUCAAACAGUGAAAAAGGCUUGUUAGAUACCGCCAACCCGCUGGGCACUGAUUCCUCAUUAUGUUCAUGUGUUGACUGUAGAAGGCAGAAAUAACUAUAAAACAGCUCUCCUCGAAGACUGAAAAG